UACAGAGGGUGCAAGCGUUAAUCGGAUUUACUGGGCGUAAAGGGCGCGUAGGUGGUAAAGCAAGUAGAAUGUGAAAAGCCCUGGGCUUAACCUGGGAAGUGCAUUCUAAACUGCUUAACUAGAGUAUGGUAGAGGGCAGUGGAAUUUCCGGUGUAGCGGUGAAAUGCGUAGAUAUCGGAAGGAACGCCAGUGGUGAAGACGACUACCUGGACCAAUACUGACACUGAGGCGCGAAAGCGUGGGGGAUCAAACAGG
rnacentral:rRNA from 1 species